GCCACGGUGGUCUAGCGGUUAGAACGCUGGCUUUAUAAUCCUGGGGUCUCGGGUUCGAUUCCCGACGGUGCCC
rnacentral:tRNA from 1 species